CAGCCCGCGAGGUCCUGUCUGGAGGAAGCCCGAGUGCAAAAGUGCGAGGCGACGAACAGAAACCGCAUAAAAGGCCAAGCCUGCGGGGCGAGUUGGCACAUGACGACAAAGCCCUUUGGUUCAGUGGGUAUGGUAAAUGCGGCGCUUGCGCAUGGAACGUUCGCGUC
rfam:Rhodoferax antarcticus ANT.BR grfa_new.contig.9_1, whole genome shotgun sequence.